UGGGGGAAUAUUGCACAAUGGGCGCAAGCCUGAUGCAGCCAUGCCGCGUGUAUGAAGUAAGGCCUUCGGGUUGUAAAGUACUUUCAGCAGUGAGGAAGGUGGAUAUGUUAAUAGCAUAUUCAUUUGACGUUAGCUGCAGAAGAAGCACCGGCUAACUCCGUGCCAGCAGCCGCGGUAAUACGGAGGGUGCGAGCGUUAAUCGGAAUUACUGGGCGUAAAGCGCAUGCAGGUGGUUUGUUAAGUCAGAUGUGAAAGCCCGGGGCUCAACCUCGGAAUUGCAUUUGAAACUGGCAAACUAGAGUACUGUAGAGGGGGUAGAAUUUCAGGUGUAGCGGUGAAAAUGCGUAGAGAUCUGAAGGAAUACCGGUGGCGAAGGCGGCCCCCUGGACAGAUACUGACACUCAGAUGCGAAAGCGUGGGGAGCAAACAGGAUUAGAUACCCUGGUAG
rnacentral:rRNA from 1 species